UACGAAGGGGGCUAGCGUUGUUCGGAAUUACUGGGCGUAAAGCGUGCGCAGGCGGCUUCUCAAGUCAGGGGUGAAAGCCCAGAGCUCAACUCUGGAAUUGCCUUUGAGACUGAGUGGCUUGAGUACGAGAGAGGUGAGUGGAAUUCCCAGUGUAGAGGUGAAAUUCGUAGAUAUCAGGAGGAACACCUGUGGCGAAAGCGGCGCACUGGACCACAACUGACGCUGAGGCGCGAAAGCUAGGGGAGCAAACAGG
rnacentral:rRNA from 1 species